rnacentral:rRNA from 1 species
GGCUAAACCAUGCACCGAAGCUGCGGCAGCGACACUGUGUGUUGUUGGGUAGGGGAGCGUUCUGUAAGCCUGUGAAGGUGUGUCGUGAGGCAUGCUGGAGGUAUCAGAAGUGCGAAUGCUGACAUAAGUAACGAUAAAGCGGGUGAAAAGCCCGCUCGCCGGAAGACCAAGGGUUCCUGUCCAACGUUAAUCGGGGCAGGGUGAGUCGACCCCUAAGGCGAGGCCGAAAGGCGUAGUCGAUGGGAAACGGGUUAAUAUUCCCGUACUUGGUGUUACUGCGAAGGGGGGACGGAGAAGGCUAUGUUGGCCGGGCGACGGUUGUCCCGGUUUAAGCGUGUAGGUGUGUGUUCCAGGUAAAUCCGGUUCACUUUAACACUGAGGCGUGACGACGAGGCACUACGGUGCUGAAGCAACAAAUGCCCUGCUUCCAGGAAAAGCCUCUAAGCAUCAGGUAACAUCAAAUCGUACCCCAAACCGACACAGGUGGUCAGGUAGAGAAUACCAAGGCGCUUGAGAGAACUCGGGUGAAGGAACUAGGCAAAAUGGUGCCGUAACUUCGGGAGAAGGCACGCUGACACGUAGGUGAAGUGAUUUACUCAUGGAGCUGAAGUCAGUCGAAGAUACCAGCUGGCUGCAACUGUUUAUUAAAAACACAGCACUGUGCAAACACGAAAGUGGACGUAUACGGUGUGACGCCUGCCCGGUGCCGGAAGGUUAAUUGAUGGGGUCAGCGCAAGCGAAGCUCCUGAUCGAAGCCCCGGUAAACGGCGGCCGUAACUAUAACGGUCCUAAGGUAGCGAAAUUCCUUGUCGGGUAAGUUCCGACCUGCACGAAUGGCGUAAUGAUGGCCAGGCUGUCUCCACCCGAGACUCAGUGAAAUUGAACUCGCUGUGAAGAUGCAGUGUACCCGCGGCAAGACGGAAAGACCCCGUGAACCUUUACUAUAGCUUGACACUGAACAUUGAGCCUUGAUGUGUAGGAUAGGUGGGAGGCUUUGAAGUGUGGACGCCAGUCUGCAUGGAGCCGACCUUGAAAUACCACCCUUUAA